GGCUGGAUAGCUCAGUUGGUAGAGCACCAGAACAGCGGUCUGGAGGUUGCAGAUUCGAACCCUGCUCCAGUCG